UUUGUUUUAGCUUUUAGUUAAAUAAAUACUUUUAUCGUUUUCGCUCUCUCUGAGUCUUAUUUGAAGUCUGAAGCUUUUAAGCAGGUUCUACAUUAUUUAUCUGCUUGGCUCAAUAUUUACGAAGCGUAACGACUUAAGAACUCAGCAAUAAAAUAUAUUCGUAUAAUUUUUAUUUUUAUUUCUUUUUAAAGUAUAAAAUGACUUUUGUCAGAACCUCAGCUCUUAAAGCCCUUUAAAAUUGAACGCAUUUUCACUAAAUUCUGCCAUUUAUCAGGCAUGCAAAUUACUUUGUUUUGACGCCCAGUUUGGAGAAUCAUGAUUUACCGUAAAUCCACUUAAUAACUAAACAAAUAAAUGAAAGUUAAUUUAUAGCCCAUCAGUAAACAACAACAACAACAACAACUACAAGUAAAGGGCCAAAAGGUUGUGAGCUCCAUUAACCAAAUGCCUUGGCAUCGGCACUGGAGACUGAAGGGAUGUUGGCCCGCAGCACAUUCCGGCGUAAUUUAUGCGCACAAUUAAUUUUAAAAUCCUAAUCUCAGACAAUAUCAACAUGCUUAACAGAGAAAAAGGGAUUCGUGCGGCAAAUACCGCACUGGGCAUAUACAAAAUAUAUACACCUGCUGCGAGUAUUAUUGAUAUGCAGGAAAAAAUAAACAAGUAAUUGCGUUCUAGGCAGAAUUGCAUGACUAGACGAUACCCUAACUUAUGUUAGAGCUGUAACCUUAAUCAUUGAUGAUUCUUUUUAUAGAAUUUAAAGAAAACUCGCGCUGAAUUAUGA